CCCAGAAUGAACCCGAGUUGAGGACCUUUGACAUGAAGACAAUUGGCCUUUACAUUCUAGCCCCCUCAUUUGCUUUGCUUCUCAUUUGCAUAUUUGCUGGAGUCAUCAUAUACAAGAAGUGUAACAGGUCAAAUGAUUUGCAUGCAACUGCGGCCCUUACACCAUCACCAAAGAGUCAGAAAAAAACCUGCACUAUGGAGGAUUGUGAAGGUUUAUGCCAAUAUGGAAGAUCUCAACAUCUAUGGAAACGUCUAAGGAAAAUGCUCCACAUCACUUGCAAAAUGUGCUCAAUACAGUGUUUUAAACAGAAAAGAAAAAAGUUAACAUAUAUUUUAGUUAAUAUUAAAAAUGCUUUCUCAUCUCAUGGAAAAUAGCAUCAAUAUUUUAAUUCACAUACUUUUAUAUUAGACUUACUAUUACUUUAUCUGAUUUGUGUGGCAUCUGGAUCUCUCUUUGACUUUUCAGUUCUAAUGAGGAAUUUGGCUAAGCAAACAACUUUGCACUUAAAGGGACAGUUUACCCAAAAACUAAAAUUCUGUAAUUAAUUACUCUCUGUCAUGUUGUUUUAAACCUGUAUGAGUUUCUUUAUUCUGUUGAACACAACAAAAGAUAUUUUGAUAAAUGAUGGUGAGUAAUGGUGUUUCCUACCGUACUACAGUAUGGCAGUCAAUGGGUACCGUUGAGUGUAUGGAUACCAUCAUUUCUUAAAGGAAUCAUUUGAUUUCAUAUUUUCUUUUGUCUUUAGUGUGUUAAAAGCUGUUUGUGCAUAUAUAAGAUUUGUAAAGUUGCAAUUAUUAAAGUUUUCAAACCCAAA